rnacentral:tRNA from 1 species
CCGCUUAUAGCUCAGUUGGUAGAGCAGCUCCCUCUUAAGGAGACGGUCGUAGGUUCGAGCCCUACUAAGCGGA